GUUUUCUCGUCUUCAUUUUACGGUAUAAAAAGUUGGUAGUGCAGAUAGAAGAAAAUUAGAGAUGAGUAUUGGUGGUGAAAAAGGUUCUGCAUCAACAAAGACACCAGCAGACUUUCUCAAAUCAAUUCGGGGCCGUCCCGUAGUUGUGAAACUCAAUUCUGGUGUUGACUACCGAGGUAUUCUUGCCUGUCUCGAUGGAUACAUGAAUAUAGCAAUG
rnacentral:misc_RNA from 1 species